GGAGUAAGGAGACCUGGUGGCCUGAGAGUGGAGGAGGAGCCAGGGUUUGAUUUUGUUGAAGUGACGAAGAGAAGUUGAAACGGCGCGUUUCCAGGACUUGGAGACAUGAGAAGCGGGGACGAGAUCGAUGAGAGGCACGUGAUUGUUGAAGAAAGAGGAGGCGUUGAGGUGGCUUUAUAAGAUCUUUUUAACUACAAGGCUCCGCUGCCGAAGG